rnacentral:tRNA from 1 species
GCCUGGGUGGCGGAACAGGCAGACGCAAGGGACUUAAAAUCCCUCGCUCCUCGCGAGUGUACGGGUUCGACCCCCGUCCCAGGCA